rnacentral:SRP_RNA from 1 species
GAAGCGGGUCGGCGUGAAGCUGUGUAACCCCGCCAGGUCCGGAAGGAAGCAACGGUAAGCAGCGUAACGGGUGGCUCGCUUCGGC